rnacentral:rRNA from 1 species
UACGUAGGCAGCGAGCGUUGUUCGGAAUUACUGGGCGUAAAGAGUGUGUAGGCGGUGCUCUAAGUUCGGUGUGAAAUCUCCCGGCUUAACUGGGAGGGUGCGCCGGAAACUGGAGUGCUCGAGCGUGGGAGAGGAAAGCGGAAUUCCUGGUGUAGCGGUGAAAUGCGUAGAUAUCAGGAGGAACACCUGCGGUGUAGACGGCUUUCUGGACCAUUGCUGACGCUGAGACGCGAAAGCGUGGGGAGCAAACAGG